rnacentral:lncRNA from 1 species
UUCUAAUACUCUAUUCAUCUCCCUCCCUUCCCCCCUUUCCUCCCUCUUCUCCUUCUUCUUCUUCUUCUUCUUCUUCUUUCUUCUUCUUCCUUCUUCUUCUUCUUCUUUCUUCUUCUUCUUCUCUUCUUCUUCUUCUUCUUCUUCUUCUUUCUCUUUCUCUCCUUUCCUUCCUUCCUUCCUUCCUUCCUUCCUUCCUUCCUUCCUUCCUUCCUUCCUUCCUUCCUUCCUUCCUUCCUUCCUUCCUUCCUUCCUUCCUUCCUUCCUUCCUUCCUUCCUUCCUUCCUUCCUUCCUUCCUUCUUUCCUUCCUUCCUUCCUUCCAUUGAUAGCCAGGAAGACCUUGGUUCAAAUCCUGCCCCUGAGAUGUGUUGGCUAUGUGACCCUGAGCAAAUUAUUUAAAUUCUUAUUAAUCAGGACAAAUCUCUAAAAGUAGAAGGUGCUAACUUUCACUGGCAGGAGUUUCCUGCUCCAUGGUGUCCCUAUAUUAAUGAAAUCAUAGUUCUGAUUCCUAUCUAUGUGCAUUUCUCUGUGAAGCUGUAUGGUACUUGCCCUAUGCAAUGAGUUCUUACUUUUUUGGACAAAUAUACUCAUAAUGUAUAAGUAUGAGGCCUCUGACUAAUCUAUAAUUUUAUUUCUUUUUUUUUCUUUUUUUAGUUCUUUUUUUCUGUCCUAGUAAGAACUCUAAGACAGAAGGGCA